rnacentral:sRNA from 1 species
GCCAGGUGCGGUGGUGCACCCCUGUAAUCCCAGUGGCUUGGGAGGCUGAGGCAGGAGGAUUUCAAGUUCAAAGCUAGCCUCAGCAAUUUAGCAACUCAGCAAGACCCUGUCUCUA